AUUGGGUGUAUCAAUGUUCAUGUAAUCCUGCCAGGAGUAAAAUAAUAAACUCACUUCACAUCAGUAUUAAAGAACAUUACAAUCAACAACUAUUGGCUGACAAUCCAGCAUGUGUACAUUGCUUGGUGACUGAGCGUAUUUUAGACAGCCUUGAAUGUUUUAAUGGCAGUCUUCCAUUUCCUAUUGAUCCAGAAGAAAGUGACCCUUCAUCAAUGGACCAUGACUAUCUUGAACAUUACCAGUCUUACAACGUUUUCCAUUUGCCGUCAGUUGAAGUAGUUUGCGUAUAUGCUGAGCGUGAUUACGGGUUUGUUGGCAUAGAUCAUAAGGGUUUCAAGUGCUCCACAUGCAAUUAUGAUACACAUGCUUGUAGUCACAUCAAAUUUCUGGAAGAAAAACUCAGUCAGGAUGAUGUUGAUUUGCCUGACAUUGUGUAUGAAAUGUAUCACCAAGCAAAAAAGCAGCGGAAAGUUAAUUGGAAACCUUAUUGCCUAUCCGAUAAAUCCAUACAGUUCCAGCCACCAGUACACCUUCAACAGAUAUUUGGUAGUUCGUUUUACCAAUCCCUACCACAGGAAAAUGGAACAUUGCAUGUUGUCCCACGUAGUAGCGGAGUAUGUGAA
rnacentral:lncRNA from 1 species